CAAGUCGAACGAUGAUGCUCCAGCUUGCUGGGGUGGAUUAGUGGCGAACGGGUGAGUAACACGUGAGUAACCUGCCCUUCACUUUGGGAUAAGCCUUGGAAACGGGGUCUAAUACCGGGUAUACACAUACUGUCGCAUGGUGGUGUGUGGAAAGCUUUUGUGGUGAGGGAUGGACUCGCGGCCUAUCAGCUUGAUGGUGGGGUAGUGGCCUACCAUGGCUUUGACGGGUAGCCGGCCUGAGAGGGUGACCGGCCACACUGGGACUGAGACACGGCCCAGACUCCUACGGGAGGCAGCAGUGGGGAAUAUUGCACAAUGGGCGAAAGCCUGAUGCAGCGACGCCGCGUGGGGGAUGAAGGCUUUCGGGUCGUAAACUCCUUUCAGCAGGGACGAAGCUUUUGUGACGGUACCUGCAGAAGAAGCACCGGCUAACUACGUGCCAGCAGCCGCGGUAAUACGUAGGGUGCGAGCGUUGUCCGGAAUUAUUGGGCGUAAAGAGCUUGUAGGCGGUUUGUCGCGUCUGCCGUGAAAGCCCAGGGCUUAACCCUGGGUCUGCGGUGGGUACGGGCAGACUAGAGUGUGGUAGGGGAGACUGGAAUUCCUGGUGUAGCGGUGAAAUGCGCAGAUAUCAGGAGGAACACCGAUGGCGAAGGCAGGUCUCUGGGCCACUACUGACGCUGAGAAGCGAAAGCAUGGGGAGCAAACAGGAUUAGAUACCCUGGUAGUCCAUGCCGUAAACGUU
rnacentral:rRNA from 1 species